UAAUAGGCGAGGGCGGACCUACGUCACUUCCGCCUACCAAUCCCCUAGCAACCGGUCGCCAUAUUGAAUUCGUUGAAAACAAACCAGCUCACAGCAUUGACAGAAAAAUAAUUUAACGAGGUUUCACGGCAUUUUAAACUGUUCUAAAUGGCGUAUGAUUAUGUAAAUAGUCUUUCCAGUGAGGCUAGGUUAAGAUACGAGUUAAAAUGUUCUGUAGUUGGAUUAAACGACUGCCCUUAGCGCCUUCCAGCAGAUGCGUGGACUGAUAAUCCUACACAAUGGCCGGACAUGGAAUUUGGAAAUCUAUAUGUCUACCUCACAAGCGCACCAGGCGUUUUCACUCAUCAGGCCAUGAAGGCAUACAAAUCACUGGAAGCUCAUCGUUACUUCGCAGCUGGAUUUCUUCAAACUGUAAGGCACCUCAAAACCUGUUCAUCAGUGACCAUCCUGCAAGCCAGUGUUAGACCAUCGCAGCGGAUGAAUGACCCUAGCCCAGGGGUCGGCAACCCAAAAUGUUGAAAGAGCCAUAUUGGACCGAAAAUACAAAAACAAAUCUGUCUGGAGCCGCAAAAAAUUAAAAGCCAUAUUACAUACAUGGGAUAUAAAUUGAAUUAAGAGGACUUAAAGGAAACUAAAUGACCUCAAAUAUACCUACAAAUGAGGCAUAAUGAUGCAAUAUGUACAUAUAGCUGGCCUAAAUAGCAUGUUAGCAUUGAUUAGCUUGCAGUCAUGCACUGACCAAAUUUGCCCGAUUAGCACUCCACACAAGUCAAUAACAUCAACAAAACUCACCUUUGUGCAUUCACGCACAACAUUAAAAGUUUGGUGGACAAAAUGAGACAGAAAAAGAAGUGGCAUAAAACACGUCCUAGAAAGUCGAAGUUGUACAUGUAAACAAACUAGGGUGAGUUCAAGGACCGCCAAAAUUAGUAGGACAAUACGGUGCUCGCCAAAUACUUGAAUCAGUGAAGCAUGUUUAACAUAAACAGUGUGAUUUCUAACAAUUAGGGAGGUUUGUGUCAUGUUUGUCCUCCUACAGAAACCAUAUUAAAACCAAAAAUGUUUUUUUUCCCCUCAUCUUUUUCCAUUUUUGAAAAAGCUCCAGAGAGCCACUAGGGCGGCGCUAAAGAGCCGCAUGCGGCUCUAGAGCCGCGGGUUGCCGACCCCCGCCCUAGCCACCAGCCGUGGGUGGGGAUUCAUGACGGAGGGGAGGUUUUGGCUGCCCAAUGUACUUGCAUGGCAGGGCAGAAGAUACUGCAGCUUGCCAUGCAGAACGGUCAGGCUACGUGACAGCCUCUACCCAAACACCAUCAGACUUUUGAACACCUGUAAGAACCUUAGACUCUAACAGACUUUAACACCAUCUAUCUAACUCUGGUUCAUCCAUUCUUGUUCUAAUCUUGAGAACUGUUGCACCUACCCUGUUUGCACAUACAUUCAUAUACUUCACAUACUCC